UCAGGCCUAACACAUGCAAGUCGAGCGAUGAAGCACCUUCGGGUGUGAAUUAGCGGCGAACGGGUGAGGAACACGUGAGAAAUCUGCCUUCAACUCUGGGAUAACUCCGGGAAACCGGGGCUAAUACCGGAUAUGAGCCUCUUUCGCAUGAAGGGGGCUGGAAAGUUUUUCGGUUGAAGAUGAUCUCGCGGCCUAUCAGCUUGUUGGUGAGGUAACGGCUCACCAAGGCUACGACGGGUAUCCGGCCUGAGAGGGCGACCGGACACACUGGGACUGAGACACGGCCCAGACUCCUACGGGAGGCAGCAGUGGGGAAUAUUGGGCAAUGGGCGAAAGCCUGACCCAGCGACGCCGCGUGAGGGAUGAAGGCCUUCGGGUUGUAAACCUCUUUCAGUGGGAAGAAGCGAAA
rnacentral:rRNA from 1 species